rnacentral:rRNA from 1 species
CCCUUACUCCUUAAUGAUCUUCUUCCGUAAGGUGAACCUGCGGAAGGAUCAUUA